AUGAGGCAGGUGUCCUUUUUGACUAAAUCACCAAAUAAGGCAGUUUUGGGGCUUGUUUCCUUUGCAGAUGUCUUGAAUAUUAUUCUCCAUCUUCCUGCUGUACCAAAUAGUGAGAACAAUAGAAAAAUAUACCUCUUUUUCAAUGAGGUAUAUUUGUUGGCCUUUACAAGACCCAUUCAUGGCUGUCUCCAUAGCAGAGUCCAAAGAGCACCUUGGUAUGUGUGGGAGUGUGAUCCAGCCAAGCCCUUUGGAGGCACCUUUGGAGGCAUAGUGUCAGAUGGUCUAAAAGAAAACAGAAAACGUCAGCUGUAUUCAUGGAGACAAUGACCAAGCAUGAG
ensembl:lncRNA